AUUAAGUCCUAUUUCUGCAGACUGCUUCUGUACGUCUUUAUUCUCUUCCUCUCUAAAUUUUCCUCUAUAUUACUAAGGCUUAUACCCACCCACAGCAGUCUACUAUAUUUAAUUCAAUUUCACAAGCAACCAAGAGAAAAAUCUUAGCAAACAAGUUCCCACAAUUUUCUUUCCAAGUGCAUAUUAUAAUACAAGAUUCAUUACGUAAGGUGAGAUGCUCAGUGCUAUUAGUGGUUUGUCCACAUCUUUUCAAAUACGUUGUUAUGUAUGGAUUUAAUUACUCCAGUUCAGAGCUCCUUUGGGAGAAAUCAUGAUACAGUUUAAGGCACAAUUUAGCCUUCACGUUAUUUGCAGCGCUUGCUUGAAUUAUCAUUUGUCAUGGUGUGAUAAGUCUCAUGUUAU
rnacentral:lncRNA from 1 species